GGCUUGCGUACGGUAGAGGACUAACCGGUCACGCUGGGAUAGCGUGACAUCCAGUAAACACUGCCACUGGAUCGCGAAUUCGAAUCUCGCCCAAGCCACCA
rnacentral:tRNA from 5 species